rnacentral:rRNA from 1 species
AUUGAACGCUGGCGGCAUGCUUUACACAUGCAAGUCGAACGGCAGCACGGACUUCGGUCUGGUGGCGAGUGGCGAACGGGUGAGUAAUACAUCGGAACGUGCCCAGUUGUGGGGGAUAACUACUCGAAAGAGUAGCUAAUACCGCAUGGGAACUGAGGUUGAAAGCAGGGGAUCGUAAGACCUUGCGCAACUGGAGCGGCCGAUGGCAGAUUAGGUAGUUGGUGGGAUAAAAGCUUACCAAGCCGACGAUCUGUAGCUGGUCUGAGAGGACGACCAGCCACACUGGGACUGAGAAACGGCCCAGACUCCUACGGGAGGCAGCAGUGGUGAAUGUUGGACAAUGGGCGAAAGCCUGAUUCAGCAAUGCCGCGUGCAGGAUGAAGGCCUUCGGGUUGUAAACUGCUUUUGUACGGAACGAAAAGCUUCGGGCUAAUACCCUGGAGUCAUGACGGUACCGUAAGAAUAAGCACCGGCUAACUACGUGCCAGCCGCCGCCGUAACAC